rnacentral:lncRNA from 10 species
CUCAGAUUACAGAUGUGAGCCACCACGCAUGACUAUGGCACCUUUGAUGGUACUUAUACGCCAGUUAAAUAAUAAGUGAUGUGCAGUGGUUCUUGUCUGUACACAUUAAUUAGGCUGUGUGGGGAGGGACAAGGGCUGGUUCUGUUCUCAUUGUUUCACUAGCUAUGGAUAGUUCUAGGUUUUGGCUCACAGUCCAGUUUUUGUUAAGGUGCUGAUGGAACACUUGCCAAUGGCCCGGUUCAGUGCUGAAUAGGAAGAAGAGCUGGCCAACUUGAGUUAUUACAUCUCUGCCACUCAAGGUGAUGUCAGAACAUGUUCCUUGGACCCAUUCAAGCCUGCUGUGGCACACUGAGAAGAGUUUGUGCCUGGACCAGAGGAAAACACAGAGGAGAGGGACACACAACCCCUUGAUUAUUUGAUUCCUCUCCUUGAAUGGAGGAGACAGAGUUCUCAAAGGACCAGAGGCAGCAGUAUUCCAAAGGGCAGAGCUAAGGUCAAGUACAGAGAAGGAAGGGGACAUUCAAGGCAAGAAGGCAGAGGGUCACAAAUGGAAGAAAGCAGCAACUGGCUGAGAAGUGGGGACUAGGAAGCAAGAGGAAAAAGACUUCAACCUGGAGGCUGGCGAGCCCUGCCAAAGAGCCUGAACCUGUUCUGACUGCUGCCUCUUCCCUGAAGCUAGGCAAGAUUUUCAGGUGUAAAUGCCCAGGGCCUGGUUGCACCCCAGUUUGGCUCUGCUAAAGGUGAAGGCUGGCUCACUUAUGUCUGAGACAUUGGUCUGAGCCCACAUGGCCACAGCAUGAGAAGAGUGGUCCAUGUGGGCUGGGAAGCCCUAUGUGUCCUGGAUCUCUGAAUGUUUUGUAAAACUCUGUUAUUUUUGAUAAAAAUAACAUGUUCAAUGUGUGUUCAUCUGUGUACCUCUAUAAGACUUUUCCUACAAAUGUAUUUAGAACCAUUUUCUAAAAUAGUCUUUGUCAGACUACAUAUGCCUUUUGUUACUGCUGUUUGGGUUUGCCUGAUGGGUGAAGACUUUAACAUUCAUUCAAACCCCAAAAGGAGGAGGCAUAGGCAUCUUGGCACAGGAUCCCAUCCUAUAAAAACCCUAAGAGUUGGGGUAGUUAUUAUUUUCCCCCUUUAACAAAUGAGGAAACAGAAGCUCAGAGCAUUUACAGCUCUCUGUAAGGUCACACAGCUAAUAGGUGGUAGAAAUAGCGUCAAGCCUGGGCCUAGGAGAGCCCAACAAUUAUGUAUUUGCCCUGACAUAAAAUCGCCUCGACGAGAAACCUACAGAGCAUUUCCACAGGCUUCCCCAACCCCUGAGCACAGGAAGUAGAAUUCCUUUAGCUUUUCUUUUUCUUGCUUUCUUGUCUUUGUUCUGCAGCCAUUUUCUUCUCACAAAGUGUGUUUCCCAGCACAAAAAAGCCUGGCUUUCCAGGAGCGGCACCCACUUUCUGAAGAGUUUACUUGCAUUGGGCGUCGGAGUUUAGGAUAACUCCAUUCAAGGCAGAUUUCUCUCCCAGAGAAAGCAACCUGAUGAAUCAGAAGGGAUGUUGUGGCAAAUGCUAUCAGAUGCCCCGCCACCCCGCUUCAGCAGAGGAGGAAGCUUCUGCUCUAGUCCGCACCAUCCUGCAAUCAAUCAGGACAACCUGUGCGAACGCAAAGGCGAGAUUCCUAAAGUUGAGAUUUCUGGGACAAAACAGUCAGCUUUAAGAUCCUGCUAUCUAUGAGCUCGCUUAUUUGCUCCAAAUUACUCUUUUUGAGAUACUUGAUGAAGAUACACUUAGUUUGCUGGAAUAAGGAGUCACACCCACCAGGUGUGAGGGAGAGAGAUUGCUGCUAUUGAAGUCAGAAUUACUCAGUGUCAUAGUUCAGCUCCGCCACUUAACACUUUGAGAGAUCCUGACCAAGUGACCCCACUGAAGCUCGAUUUCCUCUCCUGUAAAUAUAGGAGCCUUCAACUCCAUCAUAAAUAUGCACCUUUGGCUUCUGAGUCCUGUAUAUGUCUGACUCCUAGGAUGUGAGUCACCGAUCUGGCAGCAUGACUAGGUGACAUUAUGAUGCUGUGGACAGCAAUGGGCCUGCAACCUGAAGCUCAGGAUCCAGGCCCACCCCUCAUUAGCCUGUGAUCUCAGGAAACCCCUCAACACAUUUUGAGUCUGGCCCUCAUUAAAAAUGGAGGCAAGGAGGCUAUUUUACAUCAGCCCAGGGGUAGGGGUCAGGCAAGAGGCUGGAUGUAGCAACGCGCAAUGUACUGCCAUGGUCUCUAUAAACAUCAGUUAGUUUUAUUGUCAGCAACUUGCUUUAAAUAUACUGGGGCUUGCUUCUGUGAACUAACUCAUUUCAUUUUCUCCUACUAGAUUAUAGGCCCAUAGACUGACUGGGUAAGCCUCGAAUCACUACAUACUAUAGUAAUUACUAAUUACAUGUUUCUGCCUUCUGUGGCUUAUUAGUAAAUUGCAUGUAGAUGGAUCUAAAAGUAAUUGCCCUUCUUUCAUAACUUCAGCAGCCUGCAGAAAUCACAAAGAAUUACCUUAUUUACUUCCUAAGUGAUUCCCAGUGGUCAUUUAUCAAAUAUACAGAAGAAAAAAAUC